UGCAAAGAGCAGCUUGCGGGAGUUACAAACACGAUUAACCGUGCGGAUCGGAAAUUACUCGGAACAGGAGAUAAUUGACCGAGCGUAAUCAGAGGAGAGCGCUUCCGCACUCUUGCUUUCGUCGCUCAUUUCGAGGGACAACAACUGGGUCGAGAAGGACAAAGUGAGAAAAUUGCGGAGGGCGGAGAAAAAAAUACAGGGCUAGAGCGGAUUUAACAGUUAACAGCGAUGCCGGAUGGUUAACGAG